rnacentral:rRNA from 1 species
GAUGAACGCUGGCGGCGUGCCUAAUACAUGCAAGUCGAGCGAACAGACGAGGAGCUUGCCCCUCUGACGUUAGCGGCGGACGGGUGAGUAACACGUGGAUAACCUACCUAUAAUACUGGGAUAACUUCGGGAAACCGGAGCUAAUACCGGAUAAUAUAUUGAACCGCAUGGUUCAAUAGUGAAAGACGGUUUUGCUGUCACUUAUAGAUGGAUCCGCGGCGCAUUAGCUAGUUGGUAAGGUAACGGCUUACCAAGGCAACGAUGCGUAGCCGACCUGAGAGGGUGAUCGGCCACACUGGAACUGAGACACGGUCCAGACUCCUACGGGAGGCAGCAGUAGGGAAUCUUCCGCAAUGGGCGAAAGCUUGACGGAGCAACGCCGCGUGAGUGAUGAAGGUCUUCGGAUCGUAAAACUCUGUUAUUAGGGAAGAACAAAUGUGUAAGUAACUAUGCACGUCUUGACGGUACCUAAUCAGAAAGCCACGGCUAACUACGUG